AUCCAAACAAAAGUACCUGUGACUAAAUUCCAUUGUUACCAGUCCUCCCAAGUCAGUCUUCAAAUAAGGGACCUUCUGCCUGGUGUAACUCGAACCAAUAGGAGACCGAGUUUGGUUCUUCAGAAGCAAAGGAAAGUUAUCCUUGGAUCAGAGAAUGAGAGGUGGGAGUUCCAGCCCUAGAGUACAAGCUCUUCUGACAGGCUGUGGGCCAGGCGGCUUUACAGGUAUCUCCUAGGCCCCUUACCUGAGGUGCUGGCACAGCCAGCUCACAGGAGGAACUCUGAUCUGAAGGGCCAUGCAUGAGGCUGCUGUAUGUGCCCCCUCUAAGCAGUCCCUUGUGAACAAGUGAAACGGGAACAAGUGAAACUUAAGCACAAAGGAAAAGAAAAAGGUUUGUAAUUCAACUUUCCAGUAUCAGGACCUGAUUUUGGGGAAGGAAGCAAAAAAAAAAAAAAAAACCCAUCAAAGGAAUAGCUUGAAGAACAGCUACAGUGACUUCUUUGUGGACUUCAAACAUCAAUCUGAUUGAUUUUGUGAGUUAACAUGAUCUUUGUGUU
ensembl:lncRNA